AGAUGGGAGCUUGCUCCCUGAUGUUAGCGGCGGACGGGUGAGUAACACGUGGGUAACCUGCCUGUAAGACUGGGAUAACUCCGGGAAACCGGGGCUAAUACCGGAUGGUUGUUUGAACCGCAUGGUUCAAACAUAAAAGGUGGCUUCGGCUACCACUUACAGAUGGACCCGCGGCGCAUUAGCUAGUUGGUGAGGUAACGGCUCACCAAGGCAACGAUGCGUAGCCGACCUGAGAGGGUGAUCGGCCACACUGGGACUGAGACACGGCCCAGACUCCUACGGGAGGCAGCAGUAGGGAAUCUUCCGCAAUGGACGAAAGUCUGACGGAGCAACGCCGCGUGAGUGAUGAAGGUUUUCGGAUCGUAAAGCUCUGUUGUUAGGGAAGAACAAGUACCGUUCGAAUAGGGCGGUACCUUGACGGUACCUAACCAGAAAGCCACGGCUAACUACGUGCCAGCAGCCGCGGUAAUACGUAGGUGGCAAGCGUUGUCCGGAAUUAUUGGGCGUAAAGGGCUCGCAGGCGGUUUCUUAAGUCUGAUGUGAAAGCCCCCGGCUCAACCGGGGAGGGUCAUUGGAAACUGGGGAACUUGAGUGCAGAAGAGGAGAGUGGAAUUCCACGUGUAGCGGUGAAAUGCGUAGAGAUGUGGAGGAACACCAGUGGCGAAGGCGACUCUCUGGUCUGUAACUGACGCUGAGGAGCGAAAGCGUGGGGAGCGAACAGGAUUAGAUACCCUGGUAGUCCACGCCGUAAACGAUGAGUGCUAAGUGU
rnacentral:rRNA from 1 species